rnacentral:rRNA from 1 species
UACGGAGGAUGCAAGCGUUAUCCGGAAUGAUUGGGCGUAAAGCGUCCGCAGGUGGCUGUGUAAGUCUGCUGUCAAAGAGCGAAGCUCAACUUCGUAAAGGCAGUGGAAACUACACGGCUAGAGUGCGUUCGGGGCAGAGGGAAUUCCUGGUGUAGCGGUGAAAUGCGCAGAUAUCAGGAGGAACACCAGCGGCGAAGGCGGCGCUCUGGGCCGGUACUGACACUGAGGGGCGAAAGCGUGGGUAGCAAAUAGG